GCGAGAGUGGCGAAACUGGCAGACGCGCUGGACUUAGGAUCCAGUGGGGUAACCCUUGCGGGUUCGAGUCCCGCCUCUCGCA
rnacentral:tRNA from 1 species